AUUGAACGCUGGCGGCAGGCCUAACACAUGCAAGUCGAACGAGUGGCGCACGGGUGAGUGAUGUCUGUGAAACUGCCCGAAGGAGGGGGGUAACAAAGGGAAAAGGUACCUAAUACAGCACACGCGCGGUUGUACACCGAGGGGAUUAGCUAGUUGGUGGGGUAACGGCUCACCACGACGACGUUCCCCAGCUGGUCUGAGAGGAUGACCGGCCACACUGGAACUGAGACACGGUCCAGACUCCUACGGGAGGCAGCAGUGGGGAAUAUUGCACAAUGGGCGAAAGCCUGAUGCAGCCAUGCCGCGGGUGUGAAGAAGGCCUUCGGGUUGUAAAGUACUUUCAGCGAGGAGGCGUUACUCGCAGAAGAAGCACCGGCUAACUCCGUGCCAGCAGCCGCGGUAAUUC
rnacentral:rRNA from 1 species